rnacentral:misc_RNA from 1 species
GUGAAUCAUCGAAUUUUUGAACGCAAAUUGCACUCUCCGGUUUUCCGGGAGAGUAUGCCUGUUUGAGGGUCGGCCUAAAAAAAAUCGGCAUGGUUGCUGUUAUUUAAUGGUGACUUUCGGCGGAGAUUGGUUUAUCUUAAACCUUUUUUUUUUUUUUGUUUUAAUCAACUUAAAAUUUUUCUUCACAAUUCCAUUAACUUUUCUAAGA